GCCCAGAUGGCGGAAUUGGUAGACGCGCUGGUCUCAAACACCAGUGCCGCAAGGCAUGCCGGUUCGAUCCCGGCUCUGGGUACAA
rnacentral:tRNA from 2 species